rnacentral:misc_RNA from 1 species
UAACAAGGUUUCCGUAGGUGAACCUGCGGAAGGAUCAUUAAAGAUUAUGAAUGAAUAGAUUACUGGGGGAAUCGUCUGAACAAGGCCUGCGCUUAAUUGCGCGGCCAGUUCUUGAUUCUCUGCUAUCAGUUUUCUAUUUCUCAUCCUAAACACAAUGGAGUUUUUUCUCUAUGAACUACUUCCCUGGAGAGCUCGUCUCUCCAGUGGACAUAAACACAAACAAUAUUUUGUAUUAUGAAAAACUAUUAUACUAUAAAAUUUAAUAUUCAAAACUUUCAACAACGGAUCUCUUGGUUCUCGCAUCGAUGAAGAACGCAGCGAAUUGCGAUAUGUAUUGUGAAUUGCAGAUUUUCGUGAAUCAUCAAAUCUUUGAACGCACAUUGCGCCCUCUGGUAUUCCAGGGGGCAUGCCUGUUUGAGCGUCAUUUCUCUCUCAAACCUUUGGGUUUGGUAGUGAGUGAUACUCGUCUCGGGUUAACUUGAAAGUGGCUAGCCGUUGCCAUCUGCGUGAGCAGGGCUGCGUGUCAAGUCUAUGGACUCGACUCUUGCACAUCUACGUCUUAGGUUUGCGCCAAUUCGUGGUAAGCUUGGGUCAUAGAGACUCAUAGGUGUUAUAAAGACUCGCUGGUGUUUGUCUCCUUGAGGCAUACGGCUUUAACCAAAACUCUCAAAGUUUGACCUCAAAUCAGGUAGGAGUACCCGCUGAACUUAAGCAUAUC